UACAGAGGAUGCAAGCGUUAUCCGGAAUGAUUGGGCGUAAAGCGUCUGUAGGUGGCUUUUUAAGUCCGCCGUCAAAUCCCAGGGCUCAACUCUGGACAGGCGGUGGAAACUACCAAGCUGGAGUACGGUAGGGGCAGAGGGAAUUUCCGGUGGAGCGGUGAAAUGCGUAGAUAUCAUUUGGAACGCCAAUGGCGAAAGCAGGCAACUGGGGCUGUACCGACGCUGAGACACGAAAGCCAGGGGAGCGAACGGG
rnacentral:rRNA from 1 species